rnacentral:snRNA from 1 species
GGAUAUGAGGAUGAUCUGGCUGUGACAUCUGUCACGUUAGCGAUGGCCAGGGUUGAUUUGGCUAGUUCAGCUGAUGAGACAGCUGUUCCCUUUUCCUUCCUUAUUGCUCCCUGUGACUCCCAUUCCCUUAAUUCCAUGUCAUGCAAUAUUUUUAACUACUACACAUAUUCUCGUAUUUCUAGGUAAGCCUGACAUAAUACAUUGUAUAUUUAAUCAUGUUAAGGUUUUUUAUU